GACGAACGCUGGCGGCGUGCUUAACACAUGCAAGUCGAACGGAAAGGCCCUGCUUUUGUGUGGUGCUCGAGUGGCGAACGGGUGAGUAACACGUGAGUAACCUGCCCUUGACUUUGUGAUAACUUCAGGAAACUGGGGCUAAUACCGGAUAGGAGCUCCUGCUGCAUGGUGGGGGUUGGAAAGUUUCGGCGGGUGGGGAUGGACUCGCGGCUUAUCAGCUUGUUGGUGGGGUAGUGGCUUACCAAGGCUUUGACGGGUAGCCGGCCUGAGAGGGUGACCGGCCACAUUGGGACUGAGAUACGGACCAGACUCCUACGGGAGGCAGCAGUGGGGAAUAUUGCACAAUGGGCGGAAGCCUGAUGCAGCAACGCCGGGUGCGGGAUGACGGCCUUCGGGUUGUAAACCGCUUUCGCCUGUGACGAAGCGUGAGUGACGGUAAUGGGUAAAGAAGCACCGGCUAACUACGUG
rnacentral:rRNA from 1 species